rnacentral:rRNA from 1 species
GAUGAACGCUAGCGACAGGCCUAACACAUGCAAGUCGAGGGGCAUCGGGGCGUAGCAAUACGCUGCCGGCGACCGGCGGAUGGGUGAGUAACGCGUAUGCAACCUGCCUUCAGCAGGGGGAUAGCCCGUUGAAAGACGGAUUAAUACCCCGUAACACAGGGGCUCCGCAUGGAGAUUAUUGUUAAAGGGAUACUUCCUUCGGGGGGUAUUCCGGCUGAAGAUGGGCAUGCGUUCCAUUAGGUAGUUGGUUGAGGUAACGGCUCACCAAGCCUACGAUGGAUAGGGGAACUGAGAGGUUGGUCCCCCACACUGGUACCUGAGACACGGACCAGACUCCUACGGGAGGCAGCAGUGAGGAAUCUUGGUCAACGGACGGAAGUCUGAACCAGCCAUGUCGCGUGAAGGAGGACGGCCCUAAGGGUUGUAAACUUCUUUUGCAGCGGAAUAAAGUAUUCCACGAGAUGGGAUAUUGCAAGUACGCUGCGAAUAAGGAUCGGCUAACUCCGUGCC